rnacentral:sRNA from 1 species
GCUGGAUGUGGUGGUGCACGCCUGUGAUCUCAGCAACUCAGGAGACUGAGGCAGGAGGAUUGCAAGUCUGAGGCCAGCCUCAGCCACUUAGUGAGGCCCUAAGCAACUUAGCAAGACCCUGUCUCAA